rnacentral:sRNA from 1 species
GAUUCUGAAAUUUAUGUUUAUAUGCUCAGAAAUUUUGGUGAAACAUCAAAGCUAAGGCUUUUGAGAUUUUUCAAGUCAUCUAAGUUCAUCUGAGAUAAGGAACGAUCGAAAGAUUCGAGGAAAUCACAAGAGAAAAGCAGUGAUUGAGUCUUCGAUCGAGUGAUAGCAGAUAGUACUUGAUAGCGGCCAGUUUCAUGGAGACGUGUUCCGUUCCUCUUUUGAUAGGUGAUUUCAUAGCUAUUUGCAACCUAGAGGUCAAGCCAUGUUUCAUUGAUGAGUUAAUCUUACCAUACAUUUAUGUUUACAGACUAUGAACAUGUUUAUGUUAAUGUUGUCAAUGUUUGGGCAUUGUACAUUAACAAUGUUAUGUAUGACAUUAUGAUGAUGGCUCGAGAGCCUACAUGGACACCCGAGGGUGUUGUUGACAUUUAAUAUUAUUGUGCACUAUGACAGUGACACUUGUUAAUAUAUAUAAAAUUCUUUAGCUUAAACAAUUAAGUUGGGAAGUUCUUUAAUUGUGUAAUGAGUUUUAUGAAUGCAUGCAUGAUGAUAUUGUAUGUUAAUGAAUGUUAUAAGACGUUUUCGCAUGUAAUGAUGAAUGUUUAAUGAUGUUUAUGAUAAGAGACUUGCUUGGGCUUAAUGCGUUUUACUCGUUUGAGUUUAUGCACUGAUCAUAAUCCUUCCAAGAAAUGGGAUAUGACAAUUUCUAAGGUUUACAAAUGGGUUUUCAAACAAAAUUUUAUUUAAAAAUUCCGAGACAAAUUUGUAUUCGUUGAAACGAAGAUUUGAGAUUUUUGAAUAAUUGGUUGUGCUUGUCACAUAACUGCACCUUUGGAUAUUUGGUCUUGCUCGAGACGUGAAUUCUUGAACUCUUUAGAUAUUUGAUAUGCCUAAAAGGAGGCUUGAUAUUGUUUGGAAAUAAAUCACUUGCAUUAUUCUAAAAGUAUCUUUAAUAAACACUCUCCCUUUUAACUUGUUCCCUUUUUUCAUAUCUGUUGAUGGAGUUAUUUUAUAACUCAUACAUGUAAGAUGCAAUUGUUGUUUCAAAUCAGUAGAUUGCUUGGCUCACUGUCCUUUGGGAAAAGCUACUUCUACAAUCGGUUUGGUAGGUAAUUGAUACGGCUUCCAAUAGGUGUCAACCCUUUUGUUUUAAGUUGUACUCCGCUAGUCUGUCUAUUAUGUUAGUCUGUCAUGGAUUUUAAACUCUAUUUAUUGUUUUGUAAUGAAUGUUAUACUUUGAGAUUGGCAUGGAAUGACUUAUACUUGAAAUUACCCAAGGUGGCUUAUAAUUGAAAUUUGUAUUUGUUAUACUUUCGCACUUUGAGCAUGAAAUAGUGCAAGUUGAUAUUUUGACGUUUGACAUAAUUAUAAUUAUACAUGCUUGUAUAAGAUACCUUAUUUGAGUAAUUUGCUUAUUUGUUUUGAGGCUUGCCUAGGUUAUAAGGGUCACUCCCAUCGAUACUAUACACUGGUCAUGGUCCCUAGGUUUGCGUCGUGACACUUUGGGUUGUUUUAUGUAAAAAGGGGUUGUUCUUUGUUACGAAAAGUCUUCUAUUUACAAAAGUUGACUUGAAACAACAUCUUUGUAUUCUUGUUAUGAGUAAUACAAAGAUUUUUAUUUUCAAAAACGAUUAUGUAAUUUUCCCAUGAAUUUUUUUCCA